CUAACCAUGAUUUCAACACUUUAACCACAUCCCAAACUUAGCAUCGUAUCAUAUUCAUGCUACAAAUUAGUCCAAUCAUAGGAGAAGGCAAUAGGCUUCUAAAGGGUCAUAAGCAUUCCACCUUAUGGGUCCAAAACCCUCAUCUAAUUCCCAAAACUUCAAUUUUCAAUACCAAGUCAUUCUAUGCAUAAUCAAACCUAACAUUCACAUUCACGCGCAAUAUAUAUCACACAUCAUCUACGGAGAAUAGUAGACAGAAGCCUACCUCAAGGAAGAACCACAAAACUUCAAAUCAUUCUCCUAGCGCCCAUCUUCACUUCUCAAUCCCAAAAUGCCAUCACACUAUCAAAAUAGAAAUCUACUCAUCAAUACGAGUCUAACGAUAUCCAUAUUGACUACUUUUGGUUUGGGGUCAAAACGGACCCCUGGAACGGGUUCCCGAAAAAGAAGGGCAAAAUCGGAACUUUACUUUAAAAACGUGUUCCUCAUAUUUUUAGAAACCUACAGCUGAAAACUCAAGUCAAAUCGAGUAAAAAACGAGGUUCAAAUCGAAGAAAAAUCAUUUUUGAGCUUUACCGGGUAAAAUCUUUGAAAUCCGGAUUAAAAUCAAGAAUCGGAGUUGUGUUGAAGGUUAAAUUGAUGAAAAACUAGUAAUUCUAUGAUAAAAUAUUAUUCAAGUGAAA
rnacentral:lncRNA from 1 species